UUGGAGGGCAAGUCUGGUGCCAGCAGCCGCGGUAAUUCCAGCUCCAAUAGCGUAUAUUAAAGUUGUUGCAGUUAAAAAGCUCGUAGUUGAACUUCGGGGUCUACCCAUUGGUCAGGCUUAAUUGUCUGCACUGGUGAGACGGAUCUCUACCUUCUGAGGAACUUUCAUGCCAUUUAUUUGGUGUGGUUGGAAAUCAGGACUGUUACUUUGAAAAAAUUAGAGUGUUUAAAGCAGACUAUCGUCUGAACACAUUAGCAUGGAAUAAUGAAAUAGGACGGACUGAUUCUAUUUCGUUGGUUUCUAGGAUCACCGUAAUGAUUAGUAGGGAUAGUUGGGGGCAUUAGUAUUCAAUUGUCAGAGGUGAAAUUCUUGGAUUUAUUGAAGACUAACUACUGCGAAAGCAUUUGCCAAGGAUGUUUUCAUUAAUCAAGAACGAAAGUUAGGGGAUCGAAGACGAUCAGAUACCGUCGUAGUCUUAACCAUAAACUAUGCCGACUAGGGAUCGGACGAAGUUAAUUUUAUAAUGACGCGUUCGGCGCCUUACGGGAAAC
rnacentral:rRNA from 1 species